rnacentral:rRNA from 1 species
UGGGAACGUACCCUUUGGUUCGGAACAACCCAGGGAAACUUGGGCUAAUACCGGAUACGUCCGUAAGGAGAAAGAUUUAUCGCCAAGGGAUCGGCCCGCGUCUGAUUAGCUAGUUGGUGGGGUAAUGGCCCACCAAGGCUACGAUCAGUAGCUGGUCUGAGAGGAUGAUCAGCCACAUUGGGACUGAGACACGGCCCAAACUCCUACGGGAGGCAG